UAGGGGGUCUGAGAGGAUGAUCCCCCACACUGGUACUGAGACACGGACCAGACUCCUACGGGAGGCAGCAGUAAGGAAUAUUGGACAAUGGGCGAAAGCCUGAUCCAGCCAUGCCGCGUGCAGGAUGACGGCCCUAUGGGUUGUAAACUGCUUUUGGCGGGGAAAAAACCCUCAUACGUGUAUGAGGCUGAUGGUACCCGCAGAAUAAGGAUCGGCUAACUCCGUGCCAGCAGCCGCGGUAAUACGGAGGAUCCAAGCGUUAUCCGGAUUUAUUGGGUUUAAAGGGUGCGUAGGCGGAUUAGUAAGUCAGUGGUGAAAGCCUGCAGCUUAACUGUAGAACUGCCAUUGAUACUGCUAGUCUUGAAUAUAGUUGAGGUAGGCGGAAUAUGACAUGUAGCGGUGAAAUGCUUAGAUAUGUCAUAGAACACCGAUUGCGAAGGCAGCUUGCUAAGCUAUUAUUGACGCUGAGGCACGAAAGCGUGGGUAGCAAACAGGAUUAGAUACCCUGGUAGUCCACGCCCUAAACGAUGAUCACUCGAUGUUGGCGAUACACAGUCAGCGUCUAAGGGAAACCAUUAAGUGAUCCACCUGGGGAGUACGGUCGCAAGACUGAAACUCAAAGGAAUUGACGGGGGCCCGCACAAGCGGAGGAGCAUGUGGUUUAAUUCGAUGAUACGCGAGGAACCUUACCUGGGCUUGAAAGUUAGUGAAUUUUCCGGAAACGGAAGAGGCCGAAAGGACACGAAACUAGGUGCUGCAUGGCUGUCGUCAGCUCGUGCCGUGAGGUGUUGGGUUAAGUCCCGCAACGAGCGCAACCCCUAUCGUUAGUUGCCAGCGAGUAAUGUCGGGAACUCUAAUGAGACUGCCUGCGCAAGCAGUGAGGAAGGUGGGGAUGACGUCAAGUCAUCACGGCCCUUACGUCCAGGGCUACACACGUGCUACAAUGGAUGAGACAACGGGCAGCUACACAGUAAUGUGAUGCUAAUCUCUAAACUCAUUCUCAGUUCGGAUUGAGGUCUGCAACUCGACCUCAUGAAGCUGGAUUCGCUAGUAAUCGCGUAUCAGCAAUGACGCGGUGAAUACGUUCCCGGGCCUUGUACACACCGCCCGUCAAGCCAUGGGAGUUGGGGGUACCUGAAGUCGAUAACCGCAAGGAGUCGCCUAGGGUAAAACCGAUGACUGGGGCUAAGUCGAAACAAGGUA
rnacentral:rRNA from 1 species